rnacentral:rRNA from 1 species
UACGUAGGGUGCAAGCGUUGUCCGGAAUUAUUGGGCGUAAAGAGCUUGUAGGCGGUUUGUCGCGUCUGCUGUGAAAUUUCGGGGCUCAACCCCGAACUUGCAGUGGGUACGGGCAGACUAGAGUGUGGUAGGGGAGACUGGAAUUCCUGGUGUAGCGGUGAAAUGCGCAGAUAUCAGGAGGAACACCGGUGGCGAAGGCGGCAUUCUGGACCAACACUGACACUGAGGAGCGAAAGCCAGGGGAGCAAACGGG